rnacentral:SRP_RNA from 14 species
CGGCCCCUGCCGUGCGCCCGGCUCGACCCCCAGGUCUGCCGCAUGGAUGCCCCCCGCGAUGAGGAGCGAGUCGAUGCCAGCCGCUGCAGCGCCGGCGAUGUCAUGCUCGAGCGAGUCACCGAUCGCGAUCACGUCCUUAGGGGACAGGUCCAGCGCCGACAUCGCGGCCUCGUAGAUGGCCGGCGCGGGCUUGCCCAUGAGG